UGAUAGAAUAAUUUUUUGUUACACAUGUGGCUGAAAGUCGGUGUAUGUUAAAAAUAAUAACCUGCAGGCUAAUCUUAAUGAGUUGUGAAUCAGCAACAGGUUAAUUAGUUUUGUUUUUCUGCUGUUUUUUGCACGUGACUAAAUUCAAUCAGCACGAAUUACUUUUGCUAUCCAGCUCCGUUAUCUUUGCUCAAAUGAGUCCAGUGUGGAAGAUUAUAGGUGUUUUGGUUAUAAAUGUGAAACUCGAACGUCCACAAAGAAGCUGUUUUUCCGCUAUGCGUGCAUUUAAUUUUCAAUAAAUAGGUGCUGAAAGCCGCUGUGAUCGCCGACUGUUUCCCUCUUCUUCCUCUGGAGAGGUGGAGGCUGUUUGGUUGGAGAUAUGGGUCGGAAGUACCGUAGUUUAUGUAUGCUAAUAGGGGAGUUGGGGGUUGUAGCUAGAUAUUUACGUUCAGUGGGAGACGCCCUUCAUUCACCCACAUGGUUACCAACGGGUCGUCUUCGCGCCACUUUCCUAAGCUCGCUAUCAUUUUUAAGCAGUGUAACUGGGCUAUAAAUUGACCCGCAAUCGGCUCGGAUUUCACUUCACGUCUCGUUGUGUCCGCCGUUUGAAAAGUUUGCGGGAUAGUUGUGUAUUUAUUCGUCUCUUUUGUCGGUGAGAGACUACACGGCAGCCCAAGCAAGUGAGCGAAGAUGGUGGAUUUCGGCUGAUUAACCGACCUUCCCCGGAGGUGCAGGACUCCCCCUAAUCAAAGUUGCCUCGUGGAGCAGCAUGGCUGGCCUUCCAUGUGAUGCUGUAAUGGUCUGUGUAUUGCCAAAGUGCUUACAGUGCAGGUAGUACUAUGGAAUACCUACUGCAGUGGAGGCACUUACAGCAAUACCCUGACACUGAUGUGCACAGUUUUCUGAUGUUUCAUGUCUCUUUUUUUUUUCCUUUGAAGUACUGUCUUUGUGCUAAGGUGCAUCUAGUGCAGAUAGUGAAAUAGACUAGCACCUACUGCCCUAAGUGCUCCUUCUGGCAUAAGGGGCUGUGAUAAGCGCCACCAGACAAUUUUUUUUUUUUUUUUCUUUUUU